UGAAUGAAUUUAAAAUGUUCUAAAAACUUGUAGAAACCAAUAUUGUAUGUUUAUUUUUUUCUAUGUUUUUAUCCUCAGGAAAGAAACAACAUAAACCAGGAAAAAAGGUUGGAACCAGGAAUACCUACCAUAAAGAAUGCUGCUGAUGGUGACCUUGAAAUCCCAAUAGGAAUCAUCUUCAAUGGUGAAAACGGAAGUCCAGAGCAAGAACUGAACCCCUCCCAGCUGGGGAUCCUUCUAGAGGGCAAUGUGGUAAUGGAGUCCAUCUGCAGUCUUCCUUUGGCAAUGUGUCUCCUGUUUGGACUGACUUAUGCACUCCACUUGGAGUACCCAAAGUGCAUGAAGAAUACAUUCCUGUUUAUCCAGCAGAUUAUGCUGAAUCUGGGACGAAACGAUCCUCCUCCAAAACUCCAAAGGCUAAAAA